GUAGSCMCCCAAGCGUUAUCCGGAUUGACUGGGCGUAAAGAGUUGCGUAGGUGGUUUGUUAAGCGAAUAGUGAAAUCUUGUGGCUCAACCAUGAGGCUAUUAUUCGAGCUGACAGACUCGAGAAUGGAAGAGGUAUCUGGAAUUUCUCAUGUAGGGGUAAUAUCCGUAGAUAUGAGAAGGAACACCAAUGGCGUAGGCAGGAUACUGGUCCAUUUCUGACACUGAGGCACGAAAGCGUGGGGAGCGAACCGGAUUAGAUACCCGGGUAGUCCACGCCGUAAACGAUGAAUACUAGCUGUAUGCAGUAUCGACCCUGUGUGUAGCGAAGCUAACGCGUUAAGUAUUCCGCCUGGGGAGUACGGUCGCAAGACUA
rnacentral:rRNA from 1 species